UACAGAGGUGGCAAGCGUUGUUCGGAAUUACUGGGCGUAAAGGGCGCGUAGGUGGUCUUGUCAGUCAGACGUGAAAUCCCCGGGCUUAACUCGGGAACUGCGUCUGAUACUACAAGACUUGAGUUCGGGAGAGGGAUGUGGAAUUCCAGGUGUAGCGGUGAAAUGCGUAGAUAUCUGGAGGAACACCGGUGGCGAAGGCGGCUUUCUGGACGGUAACUGACGCUGAGACACGAAAGCGUGGGGAGCAAACAGG
rnacentral:rRNA from 1 species